UACGUAGGUGGCGAGCGUUGUCCGGAUUUACUGGGCGUAAAGGGCUUGUAGGCGGUCCGUUAAGUCCGAUGUGAAAUCUCCCGGCUCAACUGGGAGAGGUCAUUGGAUACUGGCGGACUAGAGGGGGGUAGAGGAAAGCAGAAUUCCUGGUGUAGCGGUGAAAUGCGUAGAUAUCAGGAGGAAUACCAGUGGCGAAGGCGGCUUUCUGGGCCUACCCUGACGCUGAGGAGCGAAGGCGUGGGGAGCAAACCGG
rnacentral:rRNA from 1 species